CAGGACCGCACCACGAAAGAGCGGGAGAUGCCGAGCUACAUCAGGAUGCCGUUCCCUCUGACGCCUCUCGCGUCUCUCUUUUCUGCCCUUGCUUCGAUUCGAUUCGAUUUGGAUGUUGCGUUGUUCUUACUCAUGAAGGUCCGAUUUGCUUUACUUCCUGAUACGGUCACGCAGGUCGCUGUUAAGGCCUCGAGUUGGCUGCGACCAAGCACGGCCUCUAGCUCGCCCUGCACCGCGAUUGCAGUCGCGCGGCUGAUGACCACGGGCUGCUCCACGCACGGACGACAAGCACAGCAUCCGCGAUCAAGGAGAACCUGAGAUGCAACAUCAACGUGGUGGUCAUAUAUCAGAAAGGCAAGUUCUUAUGAAUGAAAGGUCAAGAUCUCCGGCGGCAGGCCAACGGGCACCAUCUCGAGCCAUCGAACCUGCAUGAGAGACAAGAAACACAAGGUCCAUUAUGAG